rnacentral:tRNA from 1 species
GCCUUUGUAGUGUAGUGGUCAGCACGCUUGACGUAUAUUCGAGAGGUCUGUGGUUCGAGUCCCGGCGAAGGCA